GACAUUGAAACAAACAUUCAAAUCUUUUUUAGUUUAGUUGGACCUUCAUUCACUUUUCUAGAGCAUGGUUCGUUAUUAAAGUCUAAAGGACGUGCCUUAUAGAAUGAUUUCCUCCGCUGAAGUUGAAAUCACAGAUACAUUAAUGGCAGCAACUCCGAAAUUUUAGUAAAACAUUCAAUAUUGGUGGCCAACAAUUACAUUGGUUAAUGAAUCGCGUACGUAAUGAAAGCAUCCAUGUUGCAUUCUUCCGUAUUCUCAUACAGUGGUUUCGGGUAUCUUGAUUGUGUUUUACUAAUAUGAGCAAGUACAAAAAACCAAAGUAAAUACUUCAUUCGCUCCAUCGUACAAUGAAAAAGGAUUAUGGCGAAAAAAAAACUACGCCUUUAGUCCCCCCCUCAAACUUUGCCAAUUUGGCUUUUCAUGUGUUCAUGCCCUUGCAACCAACAGAUGAACUUACAAAUGGACGGACAAACGGAUAUGCAUAUAAUUCCCCACACAUACGCACACACACACACACAUACAUUUGUUUAAUAUUAAAAUGUAAAUAAAUGUAAUGAAUAUGUACAUUGGCCACAAUAUAAAUGUUGACACAUGUA
rnacentral:sRNA from 1 species